rnacentral:rRNA from 1 species
GACGAACGCUGGCGGCGUGCUUAACACAUGCAAGUCGAACGGAAAGGCCUCUUUCGGGGGUUACUCGAGUGGCGAACGGGUGAGUAACACGUGAGUAACCUGCCCUUGACUUUGGGAUAACUUCAGGAAACUGGGGCUAAUACCGGAUAGGAGCUCCUGCUGCAUGGUGGGGGUUGGAAAGUUUCGGCGGUUGGGGAUGGACUCGCGGCUUAUCAGCUUGUUGGUGGGGUAGUGGCUUACCAAGGCUUUGACGGGUAGCCGGCCUGAGAGGGUGACCGGCGACAUUGGGACUGAGAUACGGCCCAGACUCCUACGGGAGGCAGCAGUGGGGAAUAUUGCACAAUGGGUGGAAGCCUGAUGCAGCAACGCCGUGUGCGGGAUGACGGCCUUCGGGUUGUAAACCGCUUUCGCUCAUGACGAAGCUUUGUGUGACGGUAGUGGGUAAAGAAGCACCGGCUAACUACGUG